UCUACGGUGUGCAGCAGUGGGGAAUAUUGCACAAUGGGGGAAACCCUGAUGCAGCGACGCCGCGUGAGCGAUGAAGUAUUUCGGUAUGUAAAGCUCUAUCAGCAGGGAAGAAAAUGACGGUACCUGACUAAGAAGCCCCGGCUAACUACGUGCCAGCCGCCGCGGUAAUACGUAGGGGGCAAGCGUUAUCCGGAUUUACUGGGUGUAAAGGGAGCGUAGACGGCGGUGCAAGCCAGAUGUGAAAGCCCGGGGCUCAACCCCGGGACUGCAUUUGGAACUGUGCUGCUAGAGUGUCGGAGAGGCAGGCGGAAGUCCUAGGGUAGCGGUGAAAUGCGUAGAUAUUAGGAGGAACACCAGUGGCGAAGGCGGCCUGCUGGACGAUGACUGACGUUGAGGCUCGAAAGCGUGGGGAGCAAACAGGAUUAGAUACCCGAGUAGUC
rnacentral:rRNA from 1 species